rnacentral:rRNA from 1 species
AACGUAGGAGGCGAGCGUUAUCCGGAUUCACUGGGCGUAAAGCGCGUGUAGGCGGUUCGUCAAGUCGCUGGUGAAAGCCCUUGGCUCAACUGGGGGAGGUCCGGCGAAACUGAUGGACUGGAGGGCAGGAGAGGAGAGUGGAAUUCCCGGUGUAGCGGUGGAAUGCGUAGAGAUCGGGAGGAACACCAGUGGCGAAGGCGGCUCUCUGGCCUGCCCCUGACGCUGAGACGCGACAGCGUGGGGAGCAAACGGG